rnacentral:tRNA from 1 species
GCCCCCGUGGUGGAAUGGCAGACACUCGUGACUUAAAAUCACGUUCCAUUAGGAGUCCUGGUUCGAAUCCAGGCGGGGGCACCA